AGAUGAAACAGAGAGACAAAGAGAAGAGGAGGAGGAAGAGGAGGAAGAGGAGGAAGAAGAGAAGGAGGAAGAGGAGGAAGAGAAGGAAGAGAGAAACAGAAAGCCUCAAGCCUCUACGUGCAUUCUCAGGAAAGGCACUUUCUGGAACACUGGAACUCCACAUAGGUACCAACAGGAUAGCUGUGAGAGACUACCACCUAGCUCGACAGUCAGUAGAAGGUUCUCAUAUGCAAUAGUAGGUGCAGCUGGGUUACAACCUGAAAAACCUUCCAGUCUUCAUGGUCCAUCAGUUUUGUCAGUUGCUCUGGCACCUUACAGACUGUUAUAACUCUCAUCCCAACACGGCAUCGGGCAGAGAGAAUGAACAACAUCACCAUCGCCACCAUGAAGCCUGCCCCACGAACCAGAAACCAAGUCAUCCCUGUCCUCACUUCUCACCUCCCAGUGCCUUCCAGAUGAUCAACGUAGGCCAUCAAAUUGAAAGCUCUUGCUUCAACUGUGGUUCAGCUCUGAACAUGCACCUUGUUACACUUGGAUUCAGGGCAUCUGGACAAUGCAUGUGCACAGGCAUGAGCUCACAGUGUGUAUGCACAAACUUUCAGAGCUGCCUCCCUUUGCUAUCCACAAUCCACAUCCAGAGCCCUGCUGUCACCUGCAAGUCCCUGCCUGGUCUGGCUCUUGCCUGCUUUUCCAGACUCCUGCACCAUCAUCCCCUCUUCCAGCAUUCACUUAACUUCAGGCACAUCAGCGUUUUUCACCAACUGAAUUGUUCUGCACAUACUCCUACCUGGGUGUUGGGAGCCGCCCUCACAUUUGCCAUUAUAAGAUGGCGCUGACAGCUGUGUUCUAAGUGGUAAACAUAAUCUGCACACGUGCAGGGGCAGUUUUCCCGCCAUGUGUUCUGCCUUUCUCGUGAUGACAACUGGGCCGAUGGGCUGCAGCCAAUCAGGGAGUAAUACAUCCUAGGCGGAGGAUAAUUCUCCUUAAAAGGGACGGGGUUUUGCCAUUUUCUCUCUCUCUCUUGUUCUUGCUUUUUCUCUCUCUUGCUCUUGCUAUCUUGCUCUUGUUCUUUUUCUUGCUCUUGCUCUCUUGCUCUCUGGCUCCUGAAGAUGUAAGCAAUAAAGCUUUUGCCGCAGAAGAUUCCGGUUUGUUGUGUCUUUCCUGGCCGGUCACGAGAACGCAUGUAAGAGUUGGUGCCGAAACCCGGGACGAGAAGACCUGGGACGAGAAGACCCCGGACGAGAAGACCUGGGACGAGAAAACCUGGGACGGUUACCAUCACCGGCGCAAGGAAGAUCCCUCAUUCCGGAACCAGAACUGCGGGUCAUGGUAAUGAAGUGUUCCCAUAAAACAGACUGUUGAGAAGGAUUCAACUGCGUGAAUUCAGAACUCUUCAGCUGGGGAAUGGUGGUAAUGAAGUGUUCCCGUAAAACAGACUGUUGAGAAGGAUUCAACUGCGUGAAUUCAGAACUCUUCAGCUGGGGAACAGGGUACCCGUAAGUAUAGCUUUACAAGGUAAGUCUGGCCUUGAACUUUCUAACGAAAUUCAAGACAGUCUAUCAGAAGUAAAGUGGGAAAUAGCUUUACAAGGUAAGUCUGGCCUUGAACUUUCUAACGAAAUUCAAGACAGUCUAUCAGAAGUAAAGUGGGAAAUAGCUUUACAAGGUAUGUUUGGCCUUGAACUUUUUCUAGUGUUAGGAGCCUUUUUGUUCCUUUUCACAUGUUAUCAAGUGGUUAAGGCAGGGCUGAAAAUUCUGGAUGAAAUUCAGGGCAAUCUAUCAGAAGUAAAGCGGGGAGAGAGAGUAGGAGCAAAGAGGAAAUACGGUACACAAAAUAAGUAUACAGGCCUUUCCAAGGGUCUUGAACCCGAGGAAAAGUUUAGGUCAGGUAAGAAUACCUGGGGAGAGAUUAGAAGGAAGGAAAAGAAAAAAGAAAAGAAAAAAGAUCAAUUAGCGGAGGUUUCUAGGAGAAGAAGCCUAUACUCAUCACUAGGUAAGCUCAAGGAGCCAGUUCUUAAUAGUUCUGAAUCAGAUGAGAAGGCUAUUAGGGCCUGGAAGGCGCUCUCCCGAGCAGGUGAAGCCACUGGACAACUAACAAAGAUCGUCCAGAGACCUCAGGAGUCAUUCUCAGAUUUUGUGGCCAGAAUGACAGAGGCAGUAGAGCGUAUUUUUGCAGAUUCAGAGCAAGCCGCACCUCUGGUAGAAUAGCUUAUUUAUGAGCAAGCCACGCAGGAAUGCAGAGCGGCCAUAGUCCCAAGAAAGAACAAAGGUUUACAAGACUGGCUCAGGGUUUGUCGGGAGCUUGGGGGACCUCUCAUUAUGUGUUACUUCCAUUCAGUAUGAGAAAUUUACUAGGGUAGCUAAUUUGUCAAAAAGUCUUUCUCAGUAUAUGUUACAGAAUUGGACGGCUGAAUUUGAACAGACACUUCGGGAAUUGAGACUUCAGAUCAACUCCACGCGCUUGGACCUGUCCCUGACCAAAGGAUUACCCAAUUGGAUCUCCUCAGCAUUUUCCUUCUUUAAAGAAUGGGUGCGAUUGAUAUUAUUUGGAGAUACACAUUGCUGUGGAUUAGUGUUGCUUCUCUGGUUGGUCUGUAAGCUUAAGGCCCAAACUAGGAGAGACAAGGUGGUUAUUGCCCAGGCACUUGCAGCUCUAGAACAUGGUGCUUCCCCUGAUAUAUCUAUGCUUAAGCAAUAGGUCGCUGGCCAUUCAGCUCUUGCACCCCACGAGGCACGGGAUAGAGUGAGUGUGCUUCAGCAGCCCGAGAGCGUUGCAUGGCUAAGCACUGCAGUAGAAGGGCUCUGCGGCAUAUAUGAGCCUAUUCUAGGGAGACAUGUCAUCUUUCAAGAAGGUUGAGUGUCCAAGUGUCCUUCCCCCAGGAAAAACGACACGGGAGCAGGUCAGGGUUGCUCUGGGUAAAAGCCUGUGAGCCUAAGAGCUAAUCCUGUACAUGGCUCCUUUACCUGCACACUGGGGAUUUGACCUCUAUCUCCACUCUCAUUAAUAUGGGUGGCCUAUUGCUCUUAUUAAAAGAAAAGGGGGAGAUGUUGGGAGCCGCCCUCACAUUUGCCAUUAUAAGAUGGCGCUGACAGCUGUGUUCUAAGUGGUAAACAUAAUCUGCACACGUGCAGGGGCAGUUUUCCCGCCAUGUGUUCUGCCUUUCUCGUGAUGACAACUGGGCCGAUGGGCUGCAGCCAAUCAGGGAGUAAUACAUCCUAGGCGGAGGAUAAUUCUCCUUAAAAGGGACGGGGUUUUGCCAUUUUCUCUCUCUCUCUUGUUCUUGCUUUUUCUCUCUCUUGCUCUUGCUAUCUUGCUCUUGUUCUUUUUCUUGCUCUUGCUCUCUUGCUCUCUGGCUCCUGAAGAUGUAAGCAAUAAAGCUUUUGCCGCAG
rnacentral:lncRNA from 1 species